GGAGUUGUGGCUCAGUUGGUAGAGCAUCUGCUUUGAAUGCAGAAGAUGCCAUUGCAACCCCUGGCACCUCCA
rnacentral:tRNA from 1 species